GGCAGUUGUUCAUGAUGACAAGGCUGUACCUUGGAGCCGGAGCACACAACUCCUGAGAAUCAGCAUGAAGCCACUUUGUGAGACCAGAACCAAGGCCAUGGUUACCGGAACCACACCUUGACUGAGACUGCCUCAGGAAUUGCAGAAGAGGACAUUGUCCCAGCACUUGGGAACAGCCACUAAAAUUGGAGUCUUGAAAUUGGCUCUCCACCGCAUGUGUGGAGGUCAGGAAGUCUUAGACAAGGUCAAGGUAGCACACACUGGCUUUAAACUCACAAUCCUCUUGUCUUAGAAACCCUAGUGCUGGGAUGACAGUCAGUCCCAAUUUGGGCAAAGCGAAACAGCCUCUGCAGACUAGUAAGAAGAGAAGUGGAAUGUGCAGAAAGUCACGUUCAGGAAAGCAAAAGCAGAUGAAUGGAGCCCUG